GCCUGGGUGGCUCAGCGGUUGGGCACCUGUCUUUGGUUCAGGUCGUGAUCCUGGGAUCUCAGGAUCUGGGAUCGAGUCCCACAUCAGGCU
rfam:Canis lupus familiaris chromosome X, whole genome shotgun sequence.